AUCGAAAGAAGGUUUAAGAUUACCUCAAAUCGGAGAAUUAGAUGCAGCAGCUAGCUAGCGAUAUGAAUGUUUGCAGAAACAUGAAAACUAUUAUUAUUUAUUAUUAGACGACUUAACUAAGAGUACAUAACCAAACAAGCUACAUCACAACACAGCACACAAACCACUAACCAUCUUUGAUAGAUAUAACAUAAAUAACCAAAUACAAAUUCUAACAAACCAUAAUACAUAAAUCAUACGGGAACAGAAGGGACAAGAAGGUUAACCAUAGUUUUUCCAGACCCAGUUAAGAAUGCAUGUUCCAUGGAAGACAUGUUGGCAGCAUUGCAACCCAAGAAGAUCAUUGACCGGAGUGUCAGUGAUAUCGUCUAAGCAAAUACAACAUUCUGUGAAAACAAGCGCUACAUGUGGAUUUUCACGCCAUUCUUCAUUGACCCACCUAUUAUCCUCUCUCAGAAGUUGUAUUGUGCCAAAAGCUUCAUUGCCUUCAACAAUGAAAGGGAUAAAGUUGUUGAAGUGAGUAUCAUCCACGUAAUUGGAGAGAACAGUUGCGGUAUCAUUCCAAUUCCAAUCUAAAGCAUCAAACUGGUGGGGUAUGAUUCUUCUGUUUUCCGUCGGCGGGUACUCCGCAAUGCAAUGACGAAGGGAAGCUCGGUUUGUCAUGGCAUGUACAGGUAGAUGGGCGAAAAAAUCAUACAUUUCUUCAUCCUCUCUCAUCUGGCCUAAUAACACAUCUAUACCUUCUAUAGGACGAUGAAUCAUUCUCGUAAAUGAUAUUCCCGUUACUUGAUAACCAGGUAAGGUGAUAUCCAUCUCCAAAUCAUUAUUGGAACUAACAUGAGUUCCAUAACACUCCACAACAUGAGAGAUGUCUCGCCAUGCCAUAAUAACCUGUAAUAAACAAAGAAAAUGAAGAAAAAUGAGUAAGUAUGUGUUUUAAUAUAUUUUACACAAAACAACAAAUCUAUUUUUCCUAUGAACUUAAAAAAAAAAAACAAACAAGUUCGUUUCCAAUCAAACAUUCCAAACGAAUAAUUUGAAGAACAUCUAACGUGAAUAAGAAAGGUAGGUAGGUAGGUCAUUUCUCCAUAAAUAUCGAACCGUAAGAAAUUGCAGCAAGCGCGAAGAUGAUCUUGUUAAGAAGAAUGUUAAGCAAUCAUCAUAAUUCAAGAAAGAUAUUCAGAAUCGAAAGAAGGUUUAAGAUUACCUCAAAUCGGAGAAUUAGAUGCAGCAGCUAGCUAGCGAUCUGAAUGUUUGCAGAAACAUGAAAACUAUUAUUAUUUAUUAUUAGACGACUUAACUAAGAGUACAUAACCAAACAAGCUACAUCACAACACAUCACACAAACCACUAACCAUCUUUGACAGAUAUAACAUAAAUAACCAAAUACAAAUUCCAAAAACCAUAAUACAUAAAUCAUACGGGAACAGACGGAACAAGAAGGUUAAGCAUAGUUUUUCCAGACCCAGUUAAGAAUGCAUGUUCCAUGGAAGACAUGUUGGCAGCAUUGCAACCCAAGAAGAUCAUUGACCGGAGUGUCAAUGAUAUCGUCUAAGCAAAUACAACAUUCUGUGAAAACAAGCGCUACAUGUGGAUUUUCACGCCAUUCUUCAUUGACCCACCUAUUAUCCUCUCUUAGGAGUUGUAUUGUGCCAAAAGCUUCAUUACCUUCAACAAUGAAAGGGAUAAAGUUGUUGAAGUGAGUAUCAUCCACGUAAUUGGAGAGAACAGUUGCGGUAUCAUUCCAGUUCCAACCUAAAGCAUCAAACUGGUGGGGUAUGAUUCUUAUGUUUUCCGUCGGUGGGUACUCCGCAAUGCAAUGACGAAGGAAAGCUCGGUUUGUCAUGGCAUGUACAGGUAGAUGGGCGAAAAAAUCAAACAUUUCUUCAUCCUCUCUCAACUGGCCUAAUAACACAUCUAUACCUUCUAUAGGACGAUGAAUCUUUCUCGUAAAUGAUAUUCCCGUUACUUGAUAACCAGGUAAGGUGAUAUCCAUCUCCAAAUCAUUAUUGGAACUAACAUCAGUUCCAUAACACUCCACAACAUGAGAGAUGUCUCGCCAUGCCAUAAUAACCUGUAAUAAACAAAGAAAAUGAAGAAAAAUGAGUAAGUAUGUGUUUUAAUAUAUUUUACACAAAACAACAAAUCUAUUUUUCCUAUGAACUUAAAAAAAAAAAAAACAAACAAGGUCGUUUUCAAUCAAACAUUCCAAACGAAUAAUUUGAAGAACAUCUAACGUGAAUAAGAAAGGUAGGUAGGUCAUUUCUCCAUAAAUAUCGAACCGUAAGAAAUUGCAGCAAGCGCGAAGAUGAUCUUGUUAAGAAGAAUGUUAAGCAAUCAUCAUAAUUCAAGAAAGAUAUUCAGAAUUGAAAGAAGGUUUAAGAUUACCUCAAAUCGGAGAAUUAGAUGCAGCAGCUAGCUAGCGAUAUGAAUGUUUGCAGAAACAUGAAAAAUAUUAUUAUUUAUUAUUAGACGACUUAACUAAGAGUACAUAACCAAACAAGCUACAUCACAACACAUCACACAAACCACUAACCUUCUUUGACAGAUAUAACAUAAAUAACCAAAUACAAAUUCCAAAAACCAUAAUACAUAAAUCAUACGAGAACAGACGGAACAAGAAGGUUAAGCAUAAUUUUUCCAGACCCAGUUAAGAAUGCAUGUUCCAUGGAAGACAUGUUGGCAGCAUUGCAACCCAAGAAGAUCAUUGACCGGAGUGUCAAUGAUAUCGUCUAAGCAAAUACAACAUUCUGUGAAAACAAGCGCAACAUGUGGAUUUUCACGCCAUUCUUCAUUGACCCACCUAUUAUCCUCUCUUGGAAGUUGUAUUGUGCCAAAAGCUUCAUUACCUUCAACAAAGAAAGGGAUAAAGUUGUUGAAGUGAGUAUCAUCCACGUAAUUGGAGAGAACAGUUGCGGUAUCAUUCCAGUUCCAACCUAAAGCAUCAAACUGGUGGGGUAUGAUUCUUAUGUUUUCCGUCGGUGGGUACUCCGCAAUGCAAUGACGAAGGAAAGCUCGGUUUGUCAUGGCAUGUACAUGUAGAUGGGCGAAAAAAUCAAACAUUUCUUCAUCCUCUCUCAUCUGGCCUAAUAACACAUCUAUACCUUCUAUAGGACGAUGAAUCUUUCUCGUAAAUGAUAUUCCCGUUACUUGAUAACCAGGUAAGGUGAUAUCCAUCUCCAAAUCAUUAUUGGAACUAACAUCAGUUCCAUAACACUCCACAACAUGAGAGAUGUCUCGCCAUGCCAUAAUAACCUGUAAUAAACAAAGAAAAUGAAGAAAAAUGAGUAAGUAUGUGUUUUAAUAUAUUUUACACAAAACAACAAAUCUAUUUUUCUUAUGAACUAUAAAAAAAAAAAAAACCUAGGUCGUUUUCAAUCAAACAUUCCAAACGAAUAAUUUGAAGAACAUCUAACGUGAACAAGAAAAGUAGGUAGGUCAUUUCUCCAUAAAUAUCGAACCGUAAGAAAUUGCAGCAAGCGCGAAGAUGAUCUUGUUAAGAAGAUAGUUAAGCAAUCAUCAUAAUUCAAGAAAGAGAUUCAGAAUCGAAAGAAGGUUUAAGAUUACCUCAAAUCGGAGAAUUAGAUGCAGCAGCUAGCUAGCGAUAUGAAUGUUUGCUGAAACAUGAAAAAUAUUAUUAUUUAUUAUUAGACGACUUAACUAAGAGUACAUAACCAAACAACCUACAUCACAAUACAGCACACAAAUCACUAACCAUCUUUGACAGAUAAAACAUAAAUAACCAAAUACAAAUUCAAACAAACCAUAAUACAUAAAUCAUACGAGAACAGACGGGACAAGAAAGUUAAGCAUAGUUUUUCCAAAGCCAGUUAAGAAUGCAUGUU
rnacentral:lncRNA from 1 species